GACAGAGGCCCCGAGCGUUAGGCGGAAUCACUGGGCUUAAAGCGUGUGUAGGCGGACCGGUAAGUACCUUGUGAAAUCCCACGGCUCACCCGUGGAACUGCUGGGUAUACUGCCGGUCUUGGGCCACUCAGGGGCAACCGGACAAGCGGUGGAGCGGUGAAAUGCGUAGAUAUCGCUUGGAACGCCGAAGGUGAAAACAGGUUGCUGGGAGUGCGCCGACGCUGAGACACGAAAGCCAGGGGAGCGAACGGG
rnacentral:rRNA from 1 species